CAUUUCACCUCUUCAUCUCGAUCUGAAGAAACAACUGCCAUUAAUCUCUUCUGCUACUGUUAAGAUAGAUGAUUCUACCCUAAUACCUAUUUCGACAGUAAUGAUGAAAACCCUACCCUUUUUUUAUCGCCCACAUACAGCUUUUCUUCCUCUUUACUCUCUUUCUCUUCUUCUACGAUCCAACUCCACAGCCACAACCCAUUAUGCUUGAGCACCACUAUCAUCACUGAUUCAACCGACACUAGUACUACCUUCUUCUUCUUCUUCUUAGAACUCGAUCUCUUGUUGAAUCUCUUUAGUUGAAACCAUAGAUCCAGUAUUUAUAUUUGUUAUCUAGGGUUUCAAUUAUGAAGAUGAGCAAGAGAUUAGUUUCAUUGAUCCACAGGAGGAUUCAAAUUGAAAAACACAUGUAACAAACCAUUUUCCAAUUUAAAGUCGUUCUUAACAGAUGCAGGAGCUCCCGUAGGUAUUUCAAUUUGUGAACCUUCUCCCUUUGCGUUAGCAAACUGUAGAUUUUUUGAUGUUGAGAUUUCUGCGGAAGUAUAGCUACCCUCAUGCCUUCAGAAAGGGACGUAAUGUUGUAAUAGAACAAAGCUUUGGUGCACCUAAAGUGACUAAAGAUGGUAUCACCGUUACUGAAAGCAUUGAGUUUAAGGACAAAGUUAAGAACAUUGGUGCAAGCCAUGUAAAGCAAGUAGCAAAUGCCACCAACAAUAUAGCUGGUGAUGGUAUGUUGUGACCUUCAUUACAUCAUUUGUCAAUGUCUCUGUUGGUACUUAAGAGUAUACUUUUGACUUUGUACCAAUUGUUGAAGGAAACUACACUAUUGCAACUCAGAAGCUGAAAUGGAAAACAACAUUAGAAAACCAGUUCACAAAUAUUGAAAGAAGAUACACUGCUUCGUUCCAGUCAUUGUUAAAAAUCUUUGUGUCAAUGCCCUUACUCCACAGAGGAAGACGCUGAUAUCGACUUCUAACAAACUCCCCUUAGUAAACUGUGGAAACUCCCCUUAAUAAACCAUGGACACUCCCCUACGCUUAAGCCAUCCCAAAUCAAGCCAAUUUGUUUUCAAGCCACCCAGCAUUCAUUUUCUGGUUCCAUCAUUGAUCAUAUCAUUAUUCAUUAUCUUUGAUAUGAUUUUCAAUUCCAAACUAGCCGUCUCGGUUUCAACUUGGGCUUUGUCACAAGUCAA